rnacentral:rRNA from 2 species
UGGGGAAUAUUGGGCAAUGGGCGAAAGCCUGACCCAGCGACGCCGCGUGAGGGAAGAAGGUCUUCGGAUUGUAAACCUUUGUCAACAGGGAAGAAAACAAUGACGGUACCUGUGGAGGAAGCCACGGCUAACUACGUGCCAGCAGCCGCGGUAAUACGUAGGUGGCGAGCGUUAUCCGGAUUUACUGGGUGUAAAGGGUGUGUAGGCGGGAUCGCAAGUCAGAUGUGAAAAUUAUGGGCUUAACUCAUAAAGUGCAUUUGAAACUGUGAUUCUUGAGAGCGGAAGAGGUAAGUAGAAUUCCCGGUGUAGCGGUGAAAUGCGUAGAGAUCGGGAGGAAUACCGGUGGCGAAGGCGACUUACUGGGCCGCAACUGACGCUGAGACACGAAAGCGUGGGGAGCAAACAGG